GCCGGUGUGGCUCAGUGGAUAGAGCAUCUGCCUGUGGACCAAAAGGUCCCGGGUUCAAUUCUGGUCAAGGGCA
rnacentral:tRNA from 1 species